CCUCCAGGGCAGUGCUGUAACUGUUUCUUGCUUCCUGCCCUCUGAAUUUUAGAGGUGGGUAGCCCGGGGCUCCUCCCAGGUCUGAACAUCAUUAUCCCAGCUAGAGGCAUGGAGUUCCCCAAUCACAGGGAAAGAGACAAUGGUAUAAGAGGCUCCUUAGAUUGAAACUGAAUUCCAGCCUCAGCUCCACUGCUCACCAUUGAACUACCUUGCAUCUCCAAGUCUCGGUUUCUUUAACUUCAAAACGAAGUUAGCAUUUUCCUUGCAGAGGUGCUGAGGAUUAAAUGAGAUAAUACGUGGAAACAUUAGGCAUGUAGUGCACUUAGCAGAUGGUGUUUGGCUCCCUCUGCUUUUCCACCAGUCUGUGGCCUACAGUUUAAAUGGUAGGAAAAAGGGUGUGAGAUUUGAGGCUGGGGAAGGAGGCAAGACAAUGGAUGCAGUCACUUAGGCCUGGAGCAAGGGGCCAGGAGCCUGGGCAGGCAACAGCCCCACAGUGCCCUCGCUACCCUACUUAUGGGCCCAGAAUCUAGAAGCCAGCCACCAGCUUCAGGUGGAGUUGAAGAGCCAAGAGGCUCAGACUCUGCAGAGGCUCAGACCAGUACCUGGGUCACCUGCAGCAGUAUGUGGCCGCCUAUCAGCAGCUGACCUCUGAGAAGAAGAUGCUGCACAGACGGUUACUGCUGCAGACCCAGCUCAUGGAUCGGCUGCAGCAACAGGAAGCUCAGGGCAAAACAGUGGCCAAGAUGGUCUGCCAAGAGUUUCAGGAGACCCAGAUGAGGUAGUUACUGAGGGCUGGGCCCUGAGGGGGACAACCUGGCAAUCUCCGUGCCUUCUCACCCUCUUUCCUGGCCCCUUAGGAGCACCUGGAAGCUGCCAGCCAGCAGAACCAGCAGCUACAGGCCCAGUUGAGCCUCAUGGCUCUCCCUGGGGAAGAUACAGGAGACCACUCAGAGGAAGAGGAGAGAGCCCCAGGAGGAAUCGGGGACUGCUGGCAGUGUAGGAGUGAGGAGUUGGAAGAGACCUUUAGAACAGCUGGUCAUUAUGCUUACCAGAUUUGUUCUCGACAAGUUUUCUGGUUCAGACCACAGGCAGAGAGGCCGAGAGGAUGAGAAGGACCAGUUCAGUUUGAGGAAGAUCCUUUUGGUUUGGACAAGUUUUUGGAAGAAGCCAGACAGCUUGGUGGCUCUCAAAGACCCUCAGCAGCAGCCCCAAAGAACAUGAGCAUGAAGGCAAGAAGAGGAGGAAGGAGUAGACACACAUCUCUUCAAAGCAAAUGAACUGUGAUUAUCCAUAACCCUGAUGACGCAAGUGCUAUGGGAUAACACUUUGUGAGUGGUCGGGAUACAAACCAGAUCUGGAUGCUACUUUCUAUUAUUGGAGAAGGUGGGAGUGGGGAGAGGGUGGGGAUAGAAAAUUCUACUUUGAAUUAUUUGGUUUUUUUAAAGAGUGGCUUUUAUUUGUGCUCCUCCCACCUUUCAGCAUUCAUAGAACAUGCUGGCCCACAUCCACAAUCAAGACCACUGCCUUUUGUGUGACACGUAGUUCGCGUUAAUAUUUUGUGUAAGAACAGCUGCUUAUGAGUCAAGUCGCCCCAACCGCAGUGAGGUGGAGAAUGUUCACAUGUUGGAACUGUCCUGCCAAAUAAAUGUGGCCCCUGUUGCGCUGUGUUUUAAUUUGGAGUGGGGAAAAGAAGCUCUUGCUUUGUUUCAAAUAAAAACCUUUAGAC
ensembl:lncRNA